rnacentral:pre_miRNA from 1 species
AAUAAACGAAUUUCCGAGUUUUUGGACAGAAUUUUUGAUUCUUCAUCUUAUUUGAAUUUUUAAGAUUAAUAUUUUUAUUGUAUUACAUAAUAAAAUAUAAAUAGUAUUUUAUGUGUGACUAUUUUUUUCAAUUUUUUCAUAAAUUUUUUAAAUAAGACGGUAGUCAAACGCUCAACCUAGAAAGCUCAGAAAUGCUUUUUUU